rnacentral:rRNA from 1 species
UGAGGAAUAUUGCACAAUGGGCGCAAGCCUGAUGCAGCGACGCCGCGUGGGUGAUGAAGGCUUUCGGGUCGUAAAACCCUUUUCUGUGUGACGAGCAAGGACGGUAGCACAGGAAUAAGCCUCGGCUAACUACGUGCCAGCAGCCGCGGUAAAACGUAGGAGGCGAGCGUUAUCCGGAGUUACUGGGCGUAAAGCGCGUGUAGGUGGUUGGAUACGUCUGCUGUGAAAUGUCCCGGCUUAACCGGGAGGGUGCGGCAGAUACGGUCUGACUUGAGGGCGACAGAGGAGCGUAGAAUUCCGGGUGUAGCGGUGAAAUGCGUAGAUAUAGGAAGGAACACCAGUGGCGAAGGCGACCACCUGGACUGAUACUGACACUGAGGUGCGAAAGCGUGGGGAGCAAACAGGAUUAGAUACCCCGGUAGUCCCUGAGCGGGCUGGCAAGGCGCAU